rnacentral:rRNA from 1 species
GGUUAAGCGACUAAGCGGCACACGGUGGAUGCCCCGGGCAGUCAGAGGCGAUGAAGGGCGUGCUAAUCUGCGAUAAGCGCCGGUAAGGUGAUAGUGAACCGUUAUAACCGGCGAUACCUGGUCAGUAGAAACCCAGUGUGACUUCCGUCACACUAUCAUUAACUGAAUCCAUAGGUUAAUGAGGGGCGAACCGGGGGAACUGAAACAUCUUAAGUACCCCCGGGAGGAAAAGAACAACCGAGAUUCUCCCCAGCGGCGUAGAGCGAACGGGGAGCCCAGGAGCCUGGAAAUCAGCAUGUGUGUUAGUGGAAGCGUCUGGAAAGGCGCGCGAUACAGGGUGACAGCCCCUGCAAUAAUAAAAAGCGCACAAAAGCAGAGCCUGAUGAGUAGGGCGGGAAUAAUGGUAUCCUGUCUGAAUAUGGGGGACCAUCCUCCGCGCCAAAUACCUGACUGACCGAUAGUGAACCAGUACCGUGAGGGAAAGGCGAAAAGAACCCCGGCGAGGGGAGUGAAAAGAACCUGAAACCGUGUACGUACGGGGCAGUGGGGAGCACAGGUUUACCUGUGUGACUGCGUACCUUUAGCAAUGGGUCAGCGAUCAUAUUCUGUAGCAAGGUUAACCGUAUAGGGAGCCGGUGGAAACCGGAGUCUUAACCGGGCGUUAAGUUGCAGGGUAUAGACCCGAAACCCGGUGAUCUAGCCAUGGGCAGGUUGAAGGUUGGGUAACACUAACUGGAGGACCGGAACCGACUAAUGUUGAAAAUUAGCGGAUGACCUGUGGCUGGGGUGAAAGGCCAAUCAAACCGGGAGAUAGCUGGUUCUCCCGAAAGCUAUUUAGGUAGCGCCUCGUGAAUUCAUCCUCGGGUAAUUGCUCGGGUUAGGGGCCAUCCUGGCUUACCAACCCGAUGCAAACUGCGAAUACCGAGAAUACCGUUAUCACGCCGGAGACACAUACCGUAGCGGGUGCUAACGUCCGUCGAAGAGGGAAACAAACCCAGACCGCCAGCUAAGGUCCCAAAGUCAUAUUAUGGGAAACGAUGUGGGAAGGCCCAGACAGCCGUGAUGUUGGCUUAGAAGCAGCCAUCAUUUAAAGAAAGCGCAAUAGCUCACUGGUCGAGUCGGCCUGCGCGGAAGAUGUAACGGCUAAAACCAUGCACCGAAGUUGGCAGCGAACGUAUCACUUAAAGCGAUUCAGCGGAUGACGAUUGACGGAGCGAAGCGACGUCAAAGCGUAUAGCUGAAAGUCGAGUCGGUUUACGAUACCGUCUGUUGCAGGGGAGGCCCUGGUGUGCUUCCGCGAAGGUGGCCCGUGAGGGUUGCUGGAGGUAUCAGAAGUGCGAAUGCUGACAUAGCAACGAUAAAGCGGGGUGAAAGUGCCCGCUCGCCGGAAGACCAAGGGUUCCUGUCCAACGUUAAUCGGGCAGGGUGAGUCGACCCUAAGGCGAGCUCGAAAGGCGUAGUCGAUGGAAACGGGUUAAUAUUCCGCAAUUUGGUGUUACUGCGAAGGGGGGACGGAGAAGGCUAUGUUGGCCGGGCGACGGUUGUCCCGGUUUAAGCGUGUAGGUGUGUGUUCCGUGUAAACCGGUUCAAUUUUUACCGAGGCGUGACGACGAGGCGACCAUUUGCGCUGGACAACAAAUGCCCCGCUUCCAGAAAAGCCCUGCCAUCAGGUAACAUCAAAUCAAAAAUCUCAAACCGACACAGGUGGUCAGCCCAGAGAAUACCAAGGCGCUUGAGAGAACUCGGGUGAAGGAACUAGGCAAAAUGGUGCCAACUUCGGGAGAAGGCACGCUGACAUGUAGGUGAAGUGAUUUACCCAUGGAGCUGAAGUCAGUCGAAGAUACCAGCUGCUGCAACUGUUUAUUAAAAACACAGCACUGUGCGCAAACACGAAAGUGGACGUAUACGGUGUGACGCCCGGCCCGGUGCCGGAAGGUUAAUUGAUGGGGUCAGCGCAAGCGAAGCUCCUGAUCGAAGCCCCGGUAAACGGCGGCCGUAACUAUAACGGUCCUAAGGUAGCGAAAUCUUGUCGGCAAGUUCCGACCUGCACGAUCGGCGUAAUGAUGGCCGUGCUGUUCCACCCGGAGACUCAGUGAAAUUGAACUCGCUGUGAAGAUGCAGUGUACCCGCGGCAAAGACGGAAAGACCCCCGUGAACCUUUACUAUAGCUUCGACACUGAACAUUGAGCCUUGAUGUAGGGAUAGGUGGGAGGCUUUGAAGUGGACGCCAGUCUGCAUGGAGCCGACCUGAAAUACCACCCUUAAUGUUUGAUGUUCUAACGUAACCUGCAAUCCGGGUUGCGACAGUGUCUGGUGGGUAGUUUGACUGGGGCGGGUCUCCUCCCUAAAAAGAGUAACGAGGAGCACGAAGGUUGGCUAAUCCCGGUCGGACAUCAGAGGUUAGCAAUGGCAUAGCCAGCUUGACUGCGAGCGUGACGGCGCGAGCAGGUGCGAAAAAGCAGGUCAUAGUGAUCCGCGGUUCUGAAAUGGAAGCGGGCCACGCUCAACGGAUAAAGGUACCCGGGGAUAACAGGCUGAUACCGCCCAAGAGUUCAUAUCGACGGCGGUGUUUGGCACCGAUGUCGGCUCAUCACAUCCUGGGGCUGAAGUAGGUCCCAAGGGUAUGGCUGUUCGCCAUUUAAAGCGGUGGUACGCGAGCUGGGUUUAGAACGCGUCGUGAGACAGUUCGGUCCCCAUUCGCCGUGGGCGCUGGAGAACUGAGGGGGCUGCUCCGCACGAGAGGACCGGAGUGGACGCAUCACUGGUGUUCGGGUUGUCACAAUGGCACCGCCCGGUAGCUAAAUGCGGAAGAGAUAAGCGCUGAAAAGCAUCUAAGCACGAAACUUGCCCCGAGAUGAGUUCUCCUGAGACUUAGGUUCCUCCUGAAGGAACGUUGAAGACGACGACGUUGAUAGGCCGGGUGUGUAAGCGCAGCGAUGCGCUGAGCUAACCGGUACUAAUGAACCGUGAGGCUUAACCUU